CCUACGGGGGCUGCAGUGGGGAAUAUUGGACAAUGGGGGGAACCCUGAUCCAGCCAUGCCGCGUGUGUGAAGAAGGCCCUCGGGUUGUAAAGCACUUUCAGUGAGGAAGAACGCCUGGUGGUUAAUACCCAUCAGGAAAGACAUCACUCACAGAAGAAGCACCGGCUAACUCCGUGCCAGCAGCCGCGGUAAUACGGAGGGUGCGAGCGUUAAUCGGAAUUACUGGGCGUAAAGCGCGCGUAGGUGGCUUGAUAAGCCGGUUGUGAAAGCCCCGGGCUCAACCUGGGAACGGCAUCCGGAACUGUCAAGCUAGAGUGCAGGAGAGGAAGGUAGAAUUCCCGGUGUAGCGGUGAAAUGCGUAGAGAUCGGGAGGAAUACCAGUGGCGAAGGCGGCCUUCUGGACUGACACUGACACUGAGGUGCGAAAGCGUGGGUAGCAAACAGGAUUAGAUACCCGAGUAGUC
rnacentral:rRNA from 1 species